UAAUUCUUUCAAAUAUUUUUCCUCUCAGACGACGCCCUGAGCCGAGGUUCGCGCCCAACUGGACACCCUCAGUUCUGUUGUCUUAAACGUUGUACCGGGUGAGAGCCUUCAGCGCUCCCCAUUUGUCCGGCCAAGUAGUUAAUGCCGUCUGCGGCAAAUCUACAAUAAGUCACGUCAAAAAAAAAGUAAUUAUAUGAGUGAAAUCUUAAAGGAAAUUUUAAGCGUGGGGUAUCUCUUUCUCAAAACUAAUUACAACGUACUCUUCUAAAUAAAAGUACUUAGAAACAACGAAAAAGAAAAGGCAAAAGUUGAUACUUUAUAGUGCUACAAUCUUUAGUUUUAGAUACGUAGACCAUUUACCCAUUGACUUUUAAUAUGUUAAGUACAUAACUUUUCGGACUUUGCUUUUGGAAUUGCUUUUUGUAUUUCUUCAUUUAGAUUAAUUUUGUGUUCUUAUAAUCUAGUAGGUAACGAAUGAGUGUGAUCUACAUUAUGUAAAUUACAUAAAAUGGCCUGUAUAUUUAGGUAUUAUAAAUAUUAUUCAAUUUAGGUUAAAAUUUUAUUUAGUUUACAUUUACAGUCAUACCAAUUGACUUUAGUUUUUAAUUGUUUAUGCUAUUCUGACCUAUAUUAUUUUGAAUCAACUGCCAAUAUUAUUAUGCUGUUUUAAAUAUACAUUUAAAUCAA